rnacentral:rRNA from 1 species
AGAGUUUGAUCAUGGCUCAGGAUGAACGCUGGCGGCGUGCCUAACACAUGCAAGUCGAGCGAUUCUCUUUGGAGAAGAGCGGCGGACGGGUGAGUAACGCGUGGGUAACCUGCCCUGUACACACGGAUAACAUACCGAAAGGUAUGCUAAUACGAGAUAAUAUGCUUUUAUCGCAUGGUAGAAGUAUCAAAGUUUUUGCGGUACAGGAUGGACCCGCGUCUGAUUAGCUAGUUGGUAAGGUAACGGCUUACCAAGGCGACGAUCAGUAGCCGACCUGAGAGGGUGAUCGGCCACAUUGGAACUGAGACACGGUCCAAACUCCUACGGGAGGCAGCAGUGGGGAAUAUUGCACAAUGGGCGAAAGCCUGAUGCAGCAACGCCGCGUGAGCGAUGAAGGCCUUCGGGUCGUAAAGCUCUGUCCUCAAGGAAGAUAAUGACGGUACUUGAGGAGGAAGCCCCGGCUAACUACGUGCCAGCAGCCGCGGUAAUACGUAGGGGGCUAGCGUUAUCCGGAAUUACUGGGCGUAAAGGGUGCGUAGGUGGUUUCUUAAGUCAGAGGUGAAAGGCUACGGCUCAACCGUAGUAAGCCUUUGAAACUGGGAAACUUGAGUGCAGGAGAGGAGAGUGGAAUUCCUAGUGUAGCGGUGAAAUGCGUAGAUAUUAGGAGGAACACCAGUUGCGAAGGCGGCUCUCUGGACUGUAACUGACACUGAGGUACGAAAGCGUGGGGAGCAAACAGGAUUAGAUACCCUGGUAGUCCACGCCGUAAACGAUGAGUACUAGCUGUCGGAGGUUACCCCCUUCGGUGGCGCAGCU